rnacentral:rRNA from 1 species
AUUGAACGCUGGCGGCAGGCUUAACACAUGCAAGUCGAGCGGGGGAAGGUAGCUUGCUACCGGACCUAGCGGCGGACGGGUGAGUAAUGCUUAGGAAUCUGCCUAUUAGUGGGGGACAACAUCUCGAAAGGGAUGCUAAUACCGCAUACGUCCUACGGGAGAAAGCAGGGGAUCUUCGGACCUUGCGCUAAUAGAUGAGCCUAAGUCGGAUUAGCUAGUUGGUGGGGUAAAGGCCUACCAAGGCGACGAUCUGUAGCGGGUCUGAGAGGAUGAUCCGCCACACUGGGACUGAGACACGGCCCAGACUCCUACGGGAGGCAGCAGUGGGGAAUAUUGGACAAUGGGGGGAACCCUGAUCCAGCCAUGCCGCGUGUGUGAAGAAGGCCUUAUGGUUGUAAAGCACUUUAAGCGAGGAGGAGGCUACUUUAGUUAAUACCUAGAGAUAGUGGACGUUACUCGCAGAAUAAGCACCGGCUAACUCUGUGCCAGCAGCCGCGGUAAUACAGAGGGUGCGAGCGUUAAUCGGAUUUACUGGGCGUAAAGCGUGCGUAGGCGGCUUAUUAAGUCGGAUGUGAAAUCCCCGAGCUUAACUUGGGAAUUGCAUUCGAUACUGGUGAGCUAGAGUAUGGGAGAGGAUGGUAGAAUUCCAGGUGUAGCGGUGAAAUGCGUAGAGAUCUGGAGGAAUACCGAUGGCGAAGGCAGCCAUCUGGCCUAAUACUGACGCUGAGGUACGAAAGCAUGGGGAGCAAACAGGAUUAGAUACCCUGGUAGUCCAUGCCGUAAACGAUGUCUACUAGCCGUUGGGGCCUUUGAGGCUUUAGUGGCGCAGCUAACGCGAUAAGU